UCCCUCUCCAUUUUCGAAUUUUCAUUUUUUCCUUCUUUUCUCCAGAAAAUAUUGACUCUCCCAUGCACUUGUCGUCUGAAUCCUGAUCUCUCUCUCUCUUUAGAUCGUGGAAGCAACAAAACCCAUUUCACCCUUUUCUCAAAUUUGUCACCUUUUUCCCAAAUUUGUCACCUUUUCGCUUUGUUUUCUCAACCCUCUUCGUCGCGAAGCUGGUGCUAUUUUUGUGAUUUCCGUAUAUACCAAUGGCGGAAUUGGCUUUGAGAUCGGUG
rnacentral:lncRNA from 1 species